rnacentral:rRNA from 1 species
AUUGAACGCUGGCGGCAUGCCUUACACAUGCAAGUCGAACGGCAGCACGGGAGCAAUCCUGGUGGCGAGUGGCGAACGGGUGAGUAAUAUAUCGGAACGUGCCCAGUCGUGGGGGAUAACGUAGCGAAAGCUACGCUAAUACCGCAUACGAUCUACGGAUGAAAGCGGGGGAUCGCAAGACCUCGCGCGAUUGGAGCGGCCGAUAUCAGAUUAGCUAGUUGGUGGGGUAAAAGCUCACCAAGGCGACGAUCUGUAGCUGGUCUGAGAGGACGACCAGCCACACUGGAACUGAGACACGGUCCAGACUCCUACGGGAGGCAGCAGUGGGGAAUUUUGGACAAUGGGCGCAAGCCUGAUCCAGCAAUGCCGCGUGCAGGAUGAAGGCCUUCGGGUUGUAAACUGCUUUUGUACGGAACGAAAAGGUCUGCCCUAAUACGGCGGGCCCAUGACGGUACCGUAAGAAUAAGCACCGGCUAACUACGUG